rnacentral:tRNA from 1 species
GUACCGAAUACGCACCGGACUUGCUUUGCAAGCAGGGGUCGGCGGUUCGAGUCCGCUCCGCUCCA